GCCGAGUGUGGUGGCGCACACCUGUAUUCCCAGCUACUUGGGAGGCUGAGGCAGGAGAAUCACUUGAACCCAGGAGACAGAGGUUGCAGUGAGCUGAGAUCGUGCCACUGCACUCCAGCCUGGGAGACAGAGUGAGACCCUGUCUCAA
rnacentral:sRNA from 1 species